rnacentral:rRNA from 1 species
AGUGAACGCUGGCGGUAGGCCUAACACAUGCAAGUCGAACGGCAGCACAGAGGAGCUCGCUCCUUGGGUGGCGAGUGGCGGACGGGUGAGGAAUACAUCGGAAUCUACUCUGUCGUGGGGGAUAACGUAGGGAAACUUACGCUAAUACCGCAUACGACCUACGGGUGAAAGCAGGGGACCUUCGGGCCUUGCGCGAUUGAAUGAGCCGAUGUCGGAUUAGCUAGUUGGCGGGGUAAAGGCCCACCAAGGCGACGAUCCGUAGCUGGUCUGAGAGGAUGAUCAGCCACACUGGACCUGAGACACGGUCCAGACUCCUACGGGAGGCAGCAGUGGGGAAUAUUGGACAAUGGGCGCAAGCCUGAUCCAGCCAUACCGCGUGGGUGAAGAAGGCCUUCGGGUUGUAAAGCCCUUUUGUUGGGAAAGAAAUCCAGCUGGCUAAUACCCGGUUGGGAUGACGGUACCCAAAGAAUAAGCACCGGCUAACUUCGUGCCAGCCGCCGCGGUAA